rnacentral:rRNA from 1 species
CCUCACAACUCAAAGGCAAUAAACUUGCAACUACUCACAGGGGUGGUGAGCUGCCUUGCUUUGUCCUAAAAAUGACGACUCAGAAUAAGGACGCCGCGAAAGAAGUAAA